CUAAUAUCAUUUGUUUAUUCAUCAUUUUACCCAAAAAGAAAAUAAAAAAGGCAAGGAAAUCUAUUGAUUUUGUACUAGUGUUAUUGUGGUCCCACUCGAGAAAAAAUUGUUGUUACAAGUUUUGUUUGCUGGCAGGAAAAACGACAAGUAUCAUAGGUACUUCACAAUUUGUGAAGUUAUUUAAUAUAUAUUUAGGGUUUAUGGUUUCUUAGCUAGCAACAUAUGUAAAUAAAUUAACUAAUUUUGAUAAACUAUUAUUGUCUGUUACAGUAAAAAUUUUAUUAAAAUAUAUUAAUUUAUUAUCCUUUUAUGUGUGCUCAAUUGUAAAAACGGGUUUAUUGGUGUUGUUUGUUGCAGAAUGGAUAAAUACUUUAAUAUAGAACUCCAUCAUGGUGGUGUGUUCAUAGAGAACGAAGUAGGAACAUAUUAUGUUGAAGGUGAAAUGAUUGAAAUUAAAGACUGUGACCCUGACAGAAUAGGGUACUUUGACAUUGAGGGUUUUGUAGAAAAUAAUGGUUAUGAAAUAUAAGAAAAAUAGAAUUUAGGAAUGGUUUAGGUGGUUUUAUGUUUCUUAAGGAUAACGAUGGUGUAAUAGCAAUGUUAACUUGCAUUACAACAGGAAAAGUUAUUGUGUUUAUAGAAGCAGAAAAUAUUGUUGAGGUUGUUGAUGAAAAUGUGGAGAAUAUUGGAGCUGGAGAUGGUAGGCAUAAGGAUCAUAUUGAAGGACUACAUGAACAUGCUAUGGAUGGUGGGUUCUGUUAUUAUAGUUGGGCAUGAGGAGGGUUUUGUUAUUAGAGGUAGGCUACAUGAGGUGAUUGUGGAAGGCAAUAUAACUAAAGCUGAAAAUGCAGACUAUGUACUUUGAAGUGAGCAAUACAAAUGAUAGAUUAAGUGAGAAUGAUUUUAGCUCUGAAGAUGAAGAGCAUAUGGAAGCUCGAAGAAAUUUGAAAUGGGCUAGGCUGCACCAGUUUCUUUAUGAGGAUGAAGCAACUAGUGCAUGGAAAAAACCAAAAAAAAAGAUACUAAGAGAAAGGAAAAACAACCAAAUCAAAUAACAAUAGUUGAUGUAAGUGGAAAUGAGAUGCAGUUAAUCGAGAGUGGGUACAAUAGUGUAUACCAGGCUUCUAAUGAUUUUCUUAUAACUCCAAUAAGUAGUGAUGAGUAUGACUUUAGUCCACACAAGAAAAGAAAGAGCAAACCAAAAGUUUAUGCUCCAAAUUGUGAUCACAAAAAGCUUAAUUUGCAUAUUGGUUUAAGGUUCAAGGAUGUAAAUGAAUGCAAGGUAGCUCUUCAAAAGAUGGAUAAUUCUGAAUGAAUAUAACAUCAACUGGUCAAAAUUUGGAGGUAAUAAAUUAGGAGCAAUCUGGAUGUAAGUGGAAAUCUUAUGGAAGUAAAAUACAAUAUGAAGAUGCUUUUGUUGUGAAGAUAUAUUAUGGUGAGCAUACCUAUUUUAAAUAAGUAACUCAAAAUGGCUAUCUAGUGAUUAUUUAGGGAGGAUUUGGAUGAAUCCUAAUUAUGAAGUUAAGAAUAUACAAGAUGACGUUAAACUGAAGUUUAUUGUGAAGGUGCCUCUACUUACAUGCUAUCAAGCCAAAUGGAAAGCAUUAAAUAAGUUGAGGGGCUCAUUUGAGGAACAUUAUGCAAAGCUAGGAUCUUAUCAAGUUAAACUUCAGAGAGUUGAUAAGGAAUGGAUAAUUGGGAUAAAAAUUAAUUUGGACAGUAAUGGGAACAUUAUGUUUCAGAGAUUUUAUGUAGGUUUUAGUGCUUUAAAGAGAGUCGUUGGUUACAAAAGUAUGCUAGGUUUUGAUGGUUAUUUCUUAAAAAACAGUUAUUUGUGGUGCAUGAGUUGCAGCUGUUGUAAAGGAUGCUAAUAACAAGAUGUAUCCAGUAGCUUAUGUCGUAGUGUAAAGGGAAAAUGAAGCUAUGCGAACUUGGUUUUUGGAGAUAUUGUUUGAAGAAUUAGGCAUCAAUGAUGGACUUAGUUGGUGUUUUAUUAACAACCAACAAAAGGUCAGCUUCACAAUUUUGUUCAAUUAAAUAUCUAUCUUUAUAAAUGAUAAUCCAUUUACUUGAUUUGUUUUACUAUGUAGGGUUUAUUGAAUGCUCUUGGCAGGCUAGUUCCAAAUACUGAGCAUAGAAAUUGUGCUUCUAACAUCUAUGCGAAUUGGAAGAAAGUGUUUAAUGGCCCCAAAUUCAAAAAAACAAAUAUUUUGGGAUACUGCAAAAAGCAUAUAUAAGUCUCAGUAUCACUCAUGCCUUAAGAAAUUAAAAGAUGAGUCUAUUGAGGCGUAUGAGUUGUAUCUUACUAAAAACCUAAUUGUGUUUUGUAGGUCAAAGAUAAGUACAUGGACUAGAUCAGAUGUUACUGAUAAUAACAUUUGUGAGACUUUUAACAGGUAUAAAAUUAAGUCUAGGACCAAAGUAUUGAUUGAUAUGUUAGUGGACAUAAAAAAGCGCCUCAUAGUAAAAAUGCAUGAUACUGUGAAGGAAUAGAAAAAUGCAAAUAUGUAAUUUGUCAUAGAAUUAGAAAAAAAUGGAGAAAAUUAAGAACUUGACCAAGUAUUGUAACCCUAAAACAACUCUAGAAGAAAAUUUCAAGUUGCUUUCUUAUAUGAAGGUUAUGUAGUUGAUUUGAAUAACAAGAGUUGUAGUUGUCGAGCUUGGGAAUUAUCAGAACUGCCAUGUUGUCAUGCAUGUGCCUGUAUUUAAUUCCGUAGAAAAGAUCUUGUAAGUUUUGUUGAUGAAUUCUAUGGCAUACAGACCUUAUUGGCAGUCUAUGAGUAUGCUAUACAGCUAAUCAAUAGACAGAAAUAGUGGCCAACUAUUAAUGAACCUCUAGGAUUGCCACCUAUCUUUGUGAUUCGGCCUGGUGGACCUAGGCAAAAUAGGAGAAAAGACCCCAUUAAAGAUAAGAAAAAUUCAUAUAAGUUAACACAUGCCAGAUUACAAUGAAAUGCCAAGUUUGUUUGCAAUAUGUCAUAAUAAAAGAAGCUACAAGAUGAAAGGAAAAGUUGUUCAGACUGAACCUACAUAGCCAAAGGUAAAUGUACCUUGUCUUUUGUGUGUUAAAAUGUGUGUUAGUAGUGACAUAUGAGCUAAUUGAUGCAUUUAUGACUUGUAUGCAAGCCAAACGUGGCAGGCCAAGGAAGGAAGGCACUGCUAUAGCUUCAAAUAAAGGAAGCCAACCAAUUUCUACUUCUAGGAAGACUCAGCCCAGGCUUAGAAAACAGGAAGACAAGUUGAUGAGUUUGUUGUAAAGGAACUUAGGGAAACAGCUCAGACCAAACAAGGAUUUUGAUUACGUAUUUUUGUGGAUACAGGAAAUGUGUAUAUUAAGAUGCUUGGUCAAAAUAAGGUUAACUAUGUCACUUGUGGUGCUGCAAUAACAAGUACACCAGCUUCUACCAGACAAGCAACUGCAGCAACUUCAAGGUCAAGAUUUAGGGUACCUAUUGAAGUACAGCCUCAAGCAAUGCCAAGCUCAAUCCCUCCAGUCAUAAACAAUCAAAUUAACUCCUUAUGUAGCCAACAAUCAGAUGUCACCAAGGAUUAGGCAUAGGAUAAUCUUCUUCUGAACUCAUUUUGUUUCAAUAAACUUCUAGUGAACUUAUUUUGUUUGACUUAAACAUACUAUAUUUUGGGUCAUUAGGUAUAUGAUUUGCCUUUAUUAUGACAACUUUUUAUGGCCAAUUCUUACUACCUA